rnacentral:lncRNA from 1 species
CCAAGUGCAGGUUGUCACAAGUAGUAAAUCUCGGAAGUCCGAGGUCGAACCAUAGGGAAUUGGAAGGAAAUAAACUAUUCUAUGAGUAAUAAACGGUUGGCGGAAAUAUGAUUAACACGAACACUAGAGCGUCGGGGAUUCACUUCGGAUAAAUGAGUAGAAAUUGCACUUGAUCUUUAAUUUAACUCAUAUAAAAAUCAACUAAGGAGUGAUCUCAUAUGGAAGAUAAAACAUUAACCACAAAUAUACUAAAAGAUAGAUCUUGAUAAUUGUUUGAGAGAAUAUGUCAAAAUAAGUUGUUGGUAUGUAGAGAUUAUCUAAGCAUUUAUUGUGCCAAAAUUGUCAACAAUAAAUCAAAGUCUUUAACAAACCAAAACCAUUUGUAGAACAUAUACUUCAACCAAGUAAGAAGAUGAACAUUGGAGAAUAAAAUGAAAGAUCAAAGACAAUACUAAACAUUCAUCAAAGUUUCACCCCUAGCUCUAGCUAAAUGUUUAGAAAUACAUAGUGAAAUGUUACAAAGAAAAUGAAGGAAACUAGAAUAUGAUGGAGAGAAUUGAUUCUUCAAAAUCGUGGCCAAUGUCCCCUUUUAUAGGCAAAGGAACAUCCAUAAUUCAAGUAGGCAAUACAACUUGUUUCUGUCCAGCUUCAAGACAGCUGGAACAUGC